GAGUUUGAUCCUGGCUCAGGAUGAACGCUGGCGGCGUGCUUAACACAUGCAAGUCGAACGGAGCACCCCUGACGGAGUUUUCGGACAACUGAAGGGACUGCUUAGUGGCGGACGGGUGAGUAACGCGUGAGCAACCUACCUUGGAGUGGGGAAUAACAGCUGGAAACAGCUGCUAAUACCGCAUGAUAUGUCUGUAUCACAUGGUACGGGACAUCAAAGAAUUAUCGCUCUGAGAUGGGCUCGCGUCUGAUUAGCUAGUUGGUGGGGCAACGGCCCACCAAGGCGACGAUCAGUAGCCGGACUGAGAGGUUGGCCGGCCACAUUGGGACUGAGACACGGCCCAGACUCCUACGGGAGGCAGCAGUGGGGAAUAUUGGGCAAUGGGCGCAAGCCUGACCCAGCAACGCCGCGUGAAGGAAGAAGGCUCUCGGGUUGUAAACUUCUUUUAUCAGGGAUGAAGCAAGUGACGGUACCUGAUGAAUAAGCCACGGCUAACUACGUGCCAGCAGCCGCGGUAAUACGUAGGUGGCAAGCGUUAUCCGGAUUUACUGGGUGUAAAGGGCG
rnacentral:rRNA from 1 species